rnacentral:tRNA from 1 species
GGAGUAGCUCAGUUGGUUAGAGCGUCGGAUUGUGGCUCCGAAGGUCGGGGGUUCGAGUCUCCUCU